UAUACAUGACUCUGCGCAUAUCAAUAAGCGGAGGAAAAGAAACUAACAAGGAUUCCCCUAGUAACGGCGAGUGAAGCGGGAAGAGCUCAAAUUUGAAAUCUUAAAGGGUUUCCCUUUACGAAUUGUAGUUUAAAGAAGUGUUUUCUGUUGAGGUUUUGGUAAAAGUUCUUUGGAAUAGGACAUCAUAGAGGGUGAGAAUCCCGUAUUUGACCUUUACUUUCAACUUUGUGAUACACUUUCAAAGAGUCGGAUUGUUUGGGAAUGCAGUCCAAAAUGGGUGGUAAAUUUCAUCUAAAGCUAAAUAUUGGCGAGAGACCGAUAGCGAACAAGUACCGUGAGGGAAAGAUGAAAAGAACUUUGAAAAGAGAGUUAAACAGUACGUGAAAUUGUCAAAAGGGAAGCGUUUGACACCAGUGUUGUUUUUCUGAAAAUCAAUUAAAGAACUGUUUAUGCUAAGUUGUUUAGACUUUAUCAGCUAACUGUUUAGUUUUGAGCUUUUCUUUAAUGCACUUUUCAGUUAACAAGUCAACAUCAAUUUCUUUUGCUGUAAAAAAGCUUGAGGAAGGUGGCUUGAGAUUCGUCUUAAGUGUUUAUAGCCUCUUGCCUAUGCAGUCGGAGAGAUUGAGGUCUGCAGCGUAGAUCCUUCGGGGCUAAAUGCAUUUGUGCUAAGUUAUAGCAUUUUAUAGACAACUUGUUGACUAUGAUUUGUCUUGUAGCUUACUCGCUUAUGUUAUUUUACCUACGCUUAGGAUGUUGAUCUACAGAGCGAGAGU
rnacentral:rRNA from 1 species